UGUUCGUAAUUUAAAAAAAAAUAUCAAGCUGUGACCAUGACAAUAGGAGCUACUCCUCGCACACCGA
rnacentral:tRNA from 1 species